rnacentral:rRNA from 1 species
AUACGUAGGGGACAAGCGUUGUCCGGAAUGACUGGGCGUAAAGGGCGCGUAGGCGGUCUAUUAAGUCUGAUGUGAAAGGUACCGGCUCAACCGGUGAAGUGCAUUGGAAACUGGUAGACUUGAGUAUUGGAGAGGCAAGUGGAAUUCCUAGUGUAGCGGUGAAAUGCGUAGAUAUUAGGAGGAACACCAGUGGCGAAGGCGGCUUGCUGGACAAAUACUGACGCUGAGGUGCGAAAGCGUGGGGAGCGAACAGGAUUAGAUACCCUGGAAGUCCACGCCGUAAACGAUGAAUGCUAGGUGUUGGGGAAACUCAGUGCCGCAGUUAACACGAUAAGCAUACCGCCUGGGGAGUACGGUCGCAUGAUUGAAACUCAAAUGAAUUGGCGGGG